GUGCUCGCUUCAGCAGCACAUACACUAAAACUGGAACGAUACAGAGAAGAUUAGCAUGGGCCCUGCGCAAGGAUGAUACGCAAAUUCGUGAAGCGUUCCAUAUUUUU
ensembl:snRNA U6 U6 spliceosomal RNA